GCAUGGAUUGGAUUUUUGGUAGGCCCGUCCCCUUGGGCCUUUCAUAGUAUCCCAUACCAGAGCAAUCUGUGGUCUUGAACCAUUGGUUGGCCUCUACCUGUGGGCUACUGGCACUGAUGGGGAUUGCACAGAG
ensembl:snoRNA